AGAACAUUUAGAGUCUUCAUCUCCAAAAGUCUUAGAGUAGCAGUUCCCAAAGUGUGGUGUGGAGACCACUGGGAAUCCUGGAGUCUCUUUUAAGUGGUACUUAAGCCACACCUGUGACCAAGAGCUGGAAGGGAUUGCUUAGAGCAGCCAUCUGCAGACCAUGCUACACAAGCACUGAAAGAGGCUUCUUUUCUCUUCCAUUUCUUCUUGUUGCACGCAUGUUGGCCCAGCUGUUCCGGAAAAGAAAGAGUGGCAAUACUCUAACUAGAGGAAAAACAUGGCUGCAGAUGGUACCUUCAACAGGUAACAAUAGCAACUUGGUGAAGAAACAAUGGAUGAUAGCUUCAAGAUACAGAGAAGCAACUGCAGAUGUGGAAACUGGAUGGAGUGCCAGCAGCAAAGAACCAUACCAAACCUUUGGGGAGGAAAUACUGAGAAUCAUGAGGAAACUCAGGUUACCAUGAGACAGAACUGCCAAAAGCAAUCCACUCAUGAUACAGCCCUUCCUUACUUCAGAACAUGAGUUGUCUAAAGACUGUUCCUUCUCUACUUCUGCUAAAAUCUGUGAUAUUUUAUCUUUUGAACUAUGGGGGACUAAGAAUGUAUCCAUUGCUUACUUUCCCCUACUAUUUACUUUACGCUUCUGUUCCAAUUAAAGGCUUUAUUGUUGAUUUAUGAUUUCUUCUUGAUUUUCUGAUGGUAUAUUCAUUGAAUGAAGGCUUAAAUCCUAUUUGUUUAAUUAUGAUUAUCCAAGAGAUUCUACACUGAACUUUGGUAAAAACUAUAAGGUAUUCCAUAUUCAUGCAGGACAUGCUACAUUUAUGUGGGAAAAUAUAAAAUAUUGAUAAAUUUCUGAGGGGAGAGAGUAUCGGUAACUUUUGUAAUUAAAGGAGUAAUGCAUCUCCAAUGGACUCAAAGAAGAAAAUAACUUCUUCCUUAUCUUCCCCUGGCUCUGGUAGCCAUUAUGAAUAAAAAAGGGGGAAGAAUGGAAUUUUAAUGGGGAUUAUAUUAAUCCACUCAACUCUCUCAGGGUAGGGCCUAUAUGCUGAAAAAUAGCAAUUCCUGAUUUUUUGUCUGAUAUCCUGUCCAAGAUCAAAAUGGAAAACUAAACUAAAAGCUUUUGUAAAUUCUGUGGCUACUUUACAUUGAGAGAUUAUAUUAGAACUAGAAAGUCAGGAAUCAAGGCAUUUAAAGACAGCUAUGUAAUUAGCUCCCUUUUUUUCUCAUGGCAGAGAUAAUUGGGACUAUUCUUUUGCUUCUAAAUCUUCGGUUGAUAUGCUGACUACACAUAAACUGGUUAGUAGAUUAAAGACCAAUAUAUAAAAUGGAAUCCUUGACAAAUCAUACUUGCUUUCAUAAUAAAAUAUGUAAAAAAUAAUAACAAAAUGCUCACACUACAUUUGGGCUAUCAAUUGAAUUUAUUAAUAGACUAAUAUGCUCUGUAAGUACAAUAAUCACUUUUAAGAGCUAAGAAAAGUUUGCAAAAAAAAACAUCAUGCCAUAAAAGGGAGAUGGCAGGAUUUUAUAUGUAGACCUGAUUUCAAAUUCUAGUUUUACCACUUAUUGUCUCUGUGACCUUGGAUGUGCCACUUACAGUUUAUUGUCUCUGUUUCCUUAUUUGUAAACUGAGAGAUUUGUACUAGAUGAUCUCUUAAGUACCCUUCUGUUUAUAAAGCUAAGAUUUUAGCAUAUUAGGACAAAGAAAUAGUCAACAUUUUUUGUUAUUUCUACUACAAAUUACAAUAUGACUUUCUUCUGGAAAAAAAAAAAAAGAAGGGUAAAGGGGAAGACAGCCAAAAAGGGGAAAAGCACAGAACAAUGGUAUUUUAGAGGAAGGGAAGAAAAUAUAGGGAUCACAUGCAGAGGGAUUAAAAAUAAACCCAUUUAACUAAGGCAUUCUUCAACUCAAUGUAUUGCUAUUCUUAAUUGGCUGCUAAAUAAAUGACAACACAUUUAAACAAUUUAGCAAUUACAGUCAAGAUUGUUGUACUGUUUUCAAUAGUUAGUUUAGACUGAUACAAUUAGAAUAAUAAUGGUUUCUGGCUGAAGGAAGCACUUUUUUCAGUUGCCAGUGGAAAAUAAAAUACAGACAUCAUGGAAACUCUAACAUCAAA